UUCUUCCAAAAAGGGAGUUUAGAAUUCCUGUGUCUGUGCGCCACUGUCGCAUUAGCCACUAAUGCUUGCUCUUGGGGGAAUUACUGGAAUUGUUGGGGCUUUGUAAAUUCUAGAGUGUGGUCUAGACCUACUCUAUCUGUAAAGUGUCUCGAGAUAACUCU